GCGGCAGCUACACAUGCAGUCGAGCGGUAGCACAGAGAGCUUGCUCUCGGGUGACGAGCGGCGGACGGGUGAGUAAUGUCUGGGAAACUGCCUGAUGGAGGGGGAUAACUACUGGAAACGGUAGCUAAUACCGCAUAACGUCGCAAGACCAAAGUGGGGGACCUUCGGGCCUCAUGCCAUCAGAUGUGCCCAGAUGGGAUUAGCUGGUAGGUGGGGUAACGGCUCACCUAGGCGACGAUCCCUAGCUGGUCUGAGAGGAUGACCAGCCACACUGGAACUGAGACACGGUCCAGACUCCUACGGGAGGCAGCAGUGGGGAAUAUUGCACAAUGGGCGCAAGCCUGAUGCAGCCAUGCCGCGUGUGUGAAGAAGGCCUUCGGGUUGUAAAGCACUUUCAGCGGGGAGGAAGGCGGUGAGGUUAAUAACCUCAUCGAUUGACGUUACCCGCAGAAGAAGCACCGGCUAACUCCGUGCCAGCAGCCGCGGUAAUACGGAGGGUGCAAGCGUUAAUCGGAAUUACUGGGCGUAAAGCGCACGCAGGCGGUCUGUCAAGUCGGAUGUGAAAUCCCCGGGCUCAACCUGGGAACUGCAUUCGAAACUGGCAGGCUAGAGUCUUGUAGAGGGGGGUAGAAUUCCAGGUGUAGCGGUGAAAUGCGUAGAGAUCUGGAGGAAUACCGGUGGCGAAGGCGGCCCCCUGGACAAAGACUGACGCUCAGGUGCGAAAGCGUGGGGAGCAAACAGGAUUAGAUACCCUGGUAGUCCACGCUGUAAACGAUGUCGAUUUGGAGGUUGUGCCCUUGAGGCGUGGCUUCCGGAGCUAACGCGUUAAAUCGACCGCCUGGGGAGUACGGCCGCAAGGUUAAAACUCAAAUGAAUUGACGGGGGCCCGCACAAGCGGUGGAGCAUGUGGUUUAAUUCGAUGCAACGCGAAGAACCUUACCUGGUCUUGACAUCCACAGAACUUUCCAGAAAAUGGAUUGGUGCCUUCGGGAACUGUGAAACAAGUGCUGCAUGGCUGUCGUCAGCUCGUGUUGUGAAAUGUUGGGUUAAGUCCCGCAACGAGCGCAACCCUUAUCCUUUGUUGCCAGCGGUCCGGCCGGGAACUCAAAGGAGACUGCCAGUGAUAAACUGGAGGAAGGUGGGG
rnacentral:rRNA from 1 species